rnacentral:lncRNA from 1 species
GAGAUCUUGAUUUGAAAUAUAUCUACAACGAUUAAGAUGGGAGAGAGAUGAAAGAGUGAGAUGAAUUAGAAAAAAGAGAAAAGAAAAUACCUUCAUGAAGUGAUUAAAAGGUAGACUUUACAUAAAAUGUCCUUUUCUUUCACAUUUUGGAUUUAAUUCUUCGGUGUGUUUGUCUGAAACAGGUUACCAGGCAACCUCUUCAGGCAAAUCGCCUCAGACGCGCUCCUCGGUCGACUGGCACGGGGAUGGGCCAGAACCACAGCAGACGUCCACGGGGGAGCUGUUACUCACUGCUCCCCUUUCUAAUCUUGCUCAGUGGCAGUUAGCAGAGAUUCCAGCCCAACCUCUAACACUUCAGGGAACAUGGAGGCAGAAACAGGGAAGUAGCAGGUGAUAAAGAAGCAGUAGGAAGAAACCUUGAAUUUCAUCGUUUGCCAGCUGUGGCGAGGGCAAACCCACUCUAUUUGGUUCAAAAGGUCUUCCUCGAUGGGGAAAACAUUAGGUAUACUGAAGGGAAAGCACAUGGAGGAGGGAUUCUGGUGUUUUCUUCUGAAUCACUCAGCCCCUGUGAGCUCUUGCUAGAAGCCCAAAGAUUGCUUCAUAGAAAAGAAAGAACAGGAAAAAAAAGGCCACUCUUCAAGACUUCAUGUCUCAUUUCCUCUCUGCCAAGUUACAUCUGACCCACCAUCUUGUCCAUCAGUUAGACUCCAUUAACAUCAUCCACCAUGUGCAGAACACGCUUCUGAGGGUUACAGCAGAAUCAAAGACCUCCCUUGCCCACUGGGACAGAUACAAAGUCUAGCCUAAAUGGAAAGACAUGACAGUGUGCAAAUAAGAAACAGAAAUCACGUCUAUGGCUUAUGAUGGCUUCAAAUAAGCUCUAGCUGAGCCAACCAAAGUGGAGAGAUUUAGAGAGGGAUUUUCUGAAAAGGCUUCAAGGAUGCCAGAGGUUUAGGACAUGUUUUAAGUGUUAAAAUUUAAAGGAAUGAAAAGACCAGCUCAGUGAGAAAACGGUAUGCUGGGAGCAGGGAAAAAUCUUCAGAAUGAUGCAAACACACGGAAGUGGGCUCCUGUGAGCAUGCCAAAAUGUGCAUGGCUGGAGAAGAUGAAAGUCCAAACAGGUAGGCUUUUCCAACAGCCACUUGAGAGCGUUGCUGAGCUGGUAUAUCCUUGAAAGACUCAUCGCUCUUCUGUUGUGCUACAUUUAGAGCAGCAUAUCAUAGAUUCUCAAAUGCCUCUCGUGACUCAAAUGAUAAAUGGGUAAUAUUUCCACGCAGCUAACCUCUGAAGAAUGAUGAGUACUAAUCGUCAUAGUGCUCCUCUACUUCUUAAAGGAAACACAGAAGAGACUUCGUCUCCAUGGAGUUUGUAAGUAAGCAAAGAGCUCCUACAGAGACGAUUCCUGAAGGCGCCUACCUUCAACAAGGGCAUAGCAGGUCAGAAAAGAUCCGCACUAUAGCAUCCAAAGGUUAGACAUGAGAAGAACACUGCAUGCGGUUACCAAACUUGAAUUCAUGUCUCUGGGAAUGAAGACUCCGUUCAGCCUUGGCACUACUGGUUCUGCAGCCAGAGCACAAAUCCACUGCU